rnacentral:lncRNA from 1 species
AUGCCUUAUGAUUAUACAGUGGAAGUGAGAAAUAGAUUUAAGGGUCUAGAUCUCAUAGAUAGAGUGCCUGAUGAACUAUGGAAUGAGGUUCGUGACAUUGUACAGGAGACAGGGAUCAAGACCAUCUCCAUGGAAAAGAAAUGUAAAAAAGCAAAAUGGCUGUCUGGGGAGGCCUUACAAAUAGCUGUGAAAAGAAGAGAGGCGAAAAGCAAAGGAGAAAAGGAACGAUAUAAGCAUCUGAAUGCAGAGUUCCAGAGAAUAGCAAGAAGAGAUAAGAAAGCCUUCCUCAGCAAUCAAUGCAAAGAAAUAGAGGGAAAGAACAGAAUGAGAAAGACUAGAGAUCUCCUCAAGAAAAUUAGAGAUACCAAGGGAACAUUUCAUGCAAAGAUGGGCUCGAUAAAGGACAGAAAUGGUAUGGACCUAACAGAAGCAGAAGAUAUUAAGACGAGGUGGCAAGAAUACACAGAAGAACUGUACAAAAAAGAUCUUCACGACCCAGAUAAUCACGAUGGUGUGAUCACUCACCUAGAGCCAGACAUCCUGGAAUGUGAAGUCAAGUGGGCCUUAGAAAGCAUCACUACGAACAAAGCAAGUGUAGGUGAUGGAAUUCCAGUUGAGCUGUUUCAAAUCCUGAAAGAUGAUGCUGUGAAAGUGCUGCCCUCAAUAUGCCAGCAAGUUUGGAAAACUCAGCAGUGGCCACAGGACUGGAAAAGGUCAGUUUUCAUUCCAAUUCCAAAGAAAGGCAAUGCCAAAGAAUGCUCAAACCACUGCACAAUUGCACUCAUCUCACAUGCUAGUAAAGUAAUGCUCAAAAUUUUCCAAGCCAGACUUCAGCAAUACAUGAACCGUGAACUCCCUGAUGUUCCAGCUGGUUUUAGAAAAGGCAGAGGAACCAGAGAUCAAAUUGCCAACAUCUGCUGGAUCAUGGAAAAAGCAAGAGAGUUCCAGAAAAACAUCUAUUUCUGCUUUAUUGACUAUGCCAAGGCUUUUGACUGUGUGGAUCACAAUAAACUGUGGAAAAUUCUGAAAGAGAUGGGAAUACCAGACCACCUGACCUGCCUCUUGAGGAAUAUGUAUGCAGGUCAGGAAGCAGCAGUUAGAACUGGACAUGGAACAACAGACUGGUUCCAAAUCGGGAAAGGAGUACAUCAAGGCUGUAUGUUAUCACCCUGCUUAUUUAACUUCUAUGCAGAGUACAUCAUGAGAAAUGCUGGACUGAAAGAAACACAAGGUGGAAUCAAGAUUGCAGGGAGAAAUAUCAGUCACCUCAGAUAUGCAGAUGACACCACCCUUAUGGCAGAAAGUGAAGAGGAACUAAAAAGCCUCUUGAUGAAAGUGAAAAAGGAGAGUGAAAAAGCUGGCUUAAAGCUCAACAUUCAGAAAACGAAGAUCAUGGCAUCUGGUCCCAUCACUUCAUGGGAAAUAGAUGGGGAAACAGUGGAAACAGUGUCAGACUUGAUUGUUUUGGGCUCCAAAAUCACUGCAGACGGUGACUGCAGCCAUGAAAUUAAAAGACGCUUACUCCUUGGAAGAAAAGUUAUGACCAACCUAGAUAGUAUAUUCAAAAGCAGAGACGUUACUUUACCGACUAAGGUCCAUCUAGUCAAGGCUAUGGUUUUUCCUGUGGUCAUGUAUGGAUGUGAGAGUUAG